rnacentral:rRNA from 1 species
GCUUGUCUCAAAGAUUAAGCCAUGCAUGUCUAAGUGUAAAUACGUCUACACUGUGAAACUGCGAAUGGCUCAUUAAAUCAGUUAUCGUUUAUUUGAUGAUCUCUUGUUACAUGGAUAACCGUAGUAAUUCUAGAGCUAAUACAUGCGUCAAGCCCCGACUCACGAAGGGGUGUAUUUAUUAGAUUCAAAGCCAACCGCGCAAGCGUACCUUGGUGAUUCAUAAUAACUUAACGAAUCGCAUGGCCUUGCGCCGGCGAUGGUUCAUUCAAAUUUCUGCCCUAUCAACUUUCGAUGGUAGGAUAGUGGCCUACCAUGGUGGCAACGGGUAACGGGGAAUUAGGGUUCGAUUCCGGAGAGGGAGCCUGAGAAACGGCUACCACAUCCAAGGAAGGCAGCAG